GCCCGGGUGGCGGAACUGGCAGACGCGCAGGACUCAAAAUCCUGUGUUCGCAAGGACAUGUGGGUUCGACUCCCACCUCGGGCA
rnacentral:tRNA from 1 species